CGCCCCCUUCCCUCCGGCUAGAUUCUCCACUCCCGGACUCUACCGCACGCUCGCAACCCCACCCCGUGGCUAGGGUUUCGGGCAGGCCUUCGCCGGCGCGUCUCCGGCGACCCCAGAUGCAGAUGGAGCACGCCGUGAGAUUUCCCCAUCCACCAUGGUCGCCACCGUCAAGGGCUUCUUCACGGAUCUGGGACGCCAUGGACAUGCAGCUCCUCAAGGACUUUCUAUUGAAACAUCUUGUCCAUCAUGUGUAGAACACGAUGCACCGUUAAGUCAAGGUUCAGGACGACAUAUAUCGUAGCCCCAUGCUGGCUUUUUUCCAAUGCAGGACCUUCUACAUCUCUGCAUAUCGAUCCAUCUUGGACCUCAGUAGAAGAUUCAUCAUUUUAGUGUCCAUCUGAAGAAUCACAUCGUGAUAGGAACAAGGACAAUGGCUGGCAUGUUGGUAGGAAUCUGAGAUGAUAAAAAAUAGUACUCAUCCAACUGCUUACUAAAUAUGCUGGAAAUUAGCUCAUAGUUACACAUAUAUUAUUAUUGGAGCAGUACUGUCCUAGACUUGCAUAUUCAGAAUUAAUUGAUCUCACACAGUAGUGCCAUUUGUCGACACACCGUAUGAUAUAUGAAUAAAACCAUAAAAGUGUAUAUGAAACUGUAUAAUCUGGCACUUUGUUUCAUGCCUACAGCAAUGCGAUGUCCCUUUUAUGUUAUCA